AUGGCGGCUGAUCCGCCAUCCUCCUCGUGGCAUGCUUUGCUGUGCCUCGCGCUCUUCUCGGCCGUCGUCGCGUCGUCGUCCGCGAUGGACUGCGACGGCGACGACCGCGCCGCGCUGCUGAGGGUGAAGGCGCAGCUGGGCGACCCCGUGCAGCUCUCGUCCUGGCUCCCGGCCACCAACUGCUGCGCCUGGGAGCCGCCCGCCGUCUUCUGCUCCGCGGCCGGCCGAGUCACGGGGCUGGCGCUCUCCUCCCUCGACGGCGUCCGCGCGCCCGUCCCGCCGGCGCUCGGCGAGCUCCCGGAGCUCGUCAUCCUCCAGGUCCAGUCCGUCCGCGGCCUGUCCGGCCCCAUCCCGUCCUCCUUCGGCAACCUCACGCGCCUCGAGGACCUCAACAUCGCCGGCACCUCCAUCUCCGGCCCGGUGCCGGACUUCCUCGCCGGGCUAACAAGCCUCCGCACCCUCGUCAUCGCCGACGGCAAGCUCGCCGGCCCCAUGCCCGGGUGCCUGGGCAGCCUCCCCGGCCUCAGGUACCUGGACCUCAGCGGCAACAUGCUCACCGGCGCCAUCCCGCCGGGGCUGCUGCACGGGAGCUUCAGGUUCCUGAUCCUGGCCAACAACCAGCUCACCGGCGAGAUACCGAGCGACUGCGGCGACGACGACGUCGACACCCUCGACCUCUCCCGCAACCGGCUGACGGGCGACCCGUCGCCGUUCCUGUUCGGCAUCGCGAAGCCGCUGGCCAAGGUCGACCUGUCGUGGAACGAGCUCGAGUUCGACAUGAGCGACGUCAGCUUCCCGCACCACCUCACGUUCCUGGACCUCAGCCAUAACCGGAUCAACGGAAGCGUGGCCAAGUCGCUGAUGGACGUGAAGCUGGAGCACUUGGACGUCAGCUACAACGGCCUCUGCGGCGAGAUCCCGGCGGGGAGGUUCAUGUCGGCGCACGGGGCGUAG
rnacentral:rRNA from 1 species